rnacentral:tRNA from 1 species
UCCUCCGUAGCUCAACUGGCAGAGCAGCCGGCUGUUAACUGGCAGGUUACUGGUUCAAAUCCAGUCGGAGGAG